CCUGCGCCCCGCUGCGUUUUCUCGUCAGACUGUGCUCAUCUUGGCUCUGCAGAGGAGCAAAGUUGCUGGUUGGGACUACGACUUGGGCGCUGCAGAGCACGCCACAAUCAAGACCCUUGCCCACAAUUCCUCUCUCUCCCUCUGCCUCUCGACCUGCCUGGCUCUCAGAGCUUCCCUGUGUGUCCUCCCGUGGCGUGGCCUGCCUCGCCGUCUUGGGAAGGGCUACAACUGAAGAAGACAUGUGACAACAUAACUUUUUAAGUGGUGCAAAGCUUUCUCAGCCCAUUUUCUGCCCACAAAGAGAAGCACAACAGUCUACUUCAGUCCAGGCAGAGAGAACCGCCUUCUUUCUUCAAAGACGUAAGAGGAUUUGCUCAGUAAAAGGACUAACAGCAUUCUCUGAAAGGGACACCUUGAGAGCGCCUGUGAUUGCCGCUCCGAUCAACUCUCCUCCUAUCAAUCAUCAGAACACACCAAAGAAGCAGAAUGGGAUGCAUGGGAGUCAGUUAAAAAACAAGCUAACCUAACUGGCUGCAAAAAGACAUCUUAAAAAUUUGCUUUGUGGUCUGAAAGUCCAAAAGGACCAGUGCUUAGUAUAUCUAUAGCUUCCUCAGUCUGCUACAGGUGCUCUUUUAAGAAGAGGUCAGAGAUAUAGAUCAAUCUCUUUCUGCCACAUGAAAACACAAGGUGAAACUCAACAGUCUGCAACUAUGAAGAGGACCCUCGCUAGAACCCGGCCAUGUUGACAACAUGAUCUGAGUUCCAGUCUCAGAACUUUACGAAGUAAUUUCUGUUUAUAAGACCCCCAAGUCUGGUAUUUUGUUAAACCAGCCAAACUAACUAAGACACAAUUUGACCCUAUCCAGACACUUCUUGCUUGGACUCUGCAAGGUAAAAAGGUGGUUGUGAACACAUGAGGGGAGAAAGGUACACUGAAGAAUUUAGAUAAAUGAUUAGAUAGGAAAAUCUGAAUGUGAGGUGCCUGUAAAAGGGGUGAAAAGUGGCAUCACAAUGGGAUGCUUUGAACUACUCCAGAAUAUAAAACUAACCCUCAGGAAAGUGUUUCGAGUAGCUAAAAAUAAAAAAAAUAAAAAAAAAAAAAA